GUAACACGUGAGUAACCUGCCCUUGACUCUGGGAUAAGCCUGGGAAACCGGGUCUAAUACCGGAUACGACCUUUCACCGCAUGGUGGUUGGUGGAAAGAUUUUUUGGUUUUGGAUGGACUCGCGGCCUAUCAGCUUGUUGGUGAGGUAAUGGCUCACCAAGGCGACGACGGGUAGCCGGCCUGAGAGGGUGACCGGCCACACUGGGACUGAGACACGGCCCAGACUCCUACGGGAGGCAGCAGUGGGGAAUAUUGCACAAUGGGCGAAAGCCUGAUGCAGCGACGCCGCGUGAGGGAUGACGGCCUUCGGGUUGUAAACCUCUUUCAGCAGGGAAGAAGCGAAAGUGACGGUACCUGCAGAAGAAGCGCCGGCUAACUACGUGCCAGCAGCCGCGGUAAUACGUAGGGCGCAAGCGUUGUCCGGAAUUAUUGGGCGUAAAGAGCUCGUAGGCGGUUUGUCGCGUCUGCUGUGAAAGCCCGGGGCUCAACCCCGGGUCUGCAGUGGGUACGG
rnacentral:rRNA from 1 species